rnacentral:rRNA from 1 species
UACGUAGGGACCGAGCGUUGUCCGGAAUCAUUGGGCGUAAAGAGCGUGUAGGCGGCUUGUUAAGUCUUGCGUGAAAUCUCGGGGCUCAACCCCGAGCGGUCGUGAGAAACUGGCAGGCUAGAGUGCGGGAGAGGAGAGUGGAAUUCCUGGUGUAGCGGUGAAAUGCGCAGAUAUCAGGAGGAACACCGGUGGCGAAGGCGGGACUCUGGGCCGAUACUGACGCUGAGGAGCGAAAGCGUGGGGAGCGAACAGG